GUCACUGUGACCUUAAAUGUUAAAAUGUUAAAAUUGUUAUAACUUUGGUAUGAUUGGACAUAGAGUCUUCAAACUUGACAUGAAGGUUUGCAAGCACACUUAGAUGACCACUGGUCAUUUCAAGGUCAUUCAUUUCAAUGUCAUUCAUUUGAAGGUCAAGGUCACUGUGAACUUAAAUGUUAAAAUGUUAAAGUGAAACCACAGACUAUCAUUCAAGCUUGGAUCAUAUUUAUGUGUCCAAUCUAUCUGCUAGAACUGGUGUGAUAGAAACCUUUUGGAGUGAUCAUAAGGCUGUCUGGAUUUCUGUGUAGGUAUGUGAAAGCAAAACAAUAAAUAGUAUUAUUUCAUCUAAGUUUAUUUUCUUACAUUUGAUAAUGAAAUUGAUGGAAACUUCAAACAAUAUCUUACUAAUUUGCUAAUAAAAAAAUUGAGAUCAAACUUUCCUAAUUGUCAAUUCAAGUUCAUAUUUGUGACCUUAAAUGUUAUUGUUGUUCAUGUAUAUGCAUGCAUUCAAAACAUAACACAAGGUUUGCUCAUGCCUUGAAAAGUACUUUCAUUUCAUUUUGACCUUUGAACAAUAUUUCAGUAAUUUAAGUAUUGCAUUGACAAAAACACGAAAGGUACUUUCCUGUCAUUUAAAUCAAAAAUCCGGCUUCAAUGCGGUCAUCUCCGACCGCGGAACUCUUGUGUGAAUUUUUUAUGUAGUAUUUUCAUUUUGUCUCAUAAUACCUUCAAAGUGCCUUUAUGAAAAUGUGUUUUUAUGAUAUGUUCUCUUGCUACAUGUCUUUAUGACAAUGGGUUUUUACGAUAUGUUCGUUUGCUACAUGUCUUUUUAUUACUGUUCUUAUAUAGCUUUAUGGGCGUGGUUUACCGCCCAUUAUGUUUUGGCGGGCGGGUUUUUACCGCCCAUUAUGCCAUUCAGUAAAAUAUGUUUUCUGUUCUUUAGUUCUUUUAUGGCAUUUUAAAAUAAAUGCCCUUUUUCAAUCAA